rnacentral:rRNA from 1 species
AGAGUUUGAUCCUGGCUCAGGACGAACGCUGGCGGCGUGCCUAAUACAUGCAAGUCGAACGCUUCUUUUUCCACCGGAGCUUGCUCCACCGGAAAAAGAGGAGUGGCGAACGGGUGAGUAACACGUGGGUAACCUGCCCAUCAGAAGGGGAUAACACUUGGAAACAGGUGCUAAUACCGUAUAACAAUCAAAACCGCAUGGUUUUGAUUUGAAAGGCGCUUUCGGGUGUCGCUGAUGGAUGGACCCGCGGUGCAUUAGCUAGUUGGUGAGGUAACGGCUCACCAAGGCCACGAUGCAUAGCCGACCUGAGAGGGUGAUCGGCCACAUUGGGACUGAGACACGGCCCAAACUCCUACGGGAGGCAGCAGUAGGGAAUCUUCGGCAAUGGACGAAAGUCUGACCGAGCAACGCCGCGUGAGUGAAGAAGGUUUUCGGAUCGUAAAACUCUGUUGUUAGAGAAGAACAAGGAUGAGAGUAACUGUUCAUCCCUUGACGGUAUCUAACCAGAAAGCCACGGCUAACUACGUGCCAGCAGCCGCGGUAAUACGUAGGUGGCAAGCGUUGUCCGGAUUUAUUGGGCGUAAAGCGAGCGCAGGCGGUUUCUUAAGUCUGAUGUGAAAGCCCCCGGCUCAACCGGGGAGGGUCAUUGGAAACUGGGAGACUUGAGUGCAGAAGAGGAGAGUGGAAUUCCAUGUGUAGCGGUGAAAUGCGUAGAUAUAUGGAGGAACACCAGUGGCGAAGGCGGCUCUCUGGUCUGUAACUGACGCUGAGGCUCGAAAGCGUGGGGAGCAAACAGGAUUAGAUACCCUGGUAGUCCACGCCGUAAACGAUGAGUGCUAAG